CAGAGUUCAUGCCCGAGAGGGUAGACCUCCCACCCUUGUGUAUUAUUACUCUGUUGCUUUGGCGAGCUGCCUUUGGGCCUCGUAUGCUCGCCAGAGGCUCAUCAAACUCUUUUUAUCAAUGUCGUCUGAGCACUAUAUAAUAGUUAA
rnacentral:rRNA from 1 species